rnacentral:ncRNA from 1 species
CGUGCCCAACACGGGCGCCCAAGGCUUAAGGGCUGAGAUCGUGCUAAUGCCGCACGAGCACCGUUUGAACCUGUCUGGUUAGCACCAGCGAAGGAAGUAGAAGGAGCGGCAAU